CCAACGUCUGACCUCCUCCCAUCCCGUGGGUGGAACCCUAGGCACAAGCCACAAGGUGCCGCCGCCGCCAUUUGGCUAGAGGGACUCCUCCAAGUGUUUACUCUUCGUCUAUCCUCGCAUCAUCUUCCCCGAUUGAACGGCGUAACCGCCAAACACCUCCCCUCUGGGUCUUCCCGAUCACAACCUUGCUGAUGGAUCCAGGGUCGGAGCCCCUGACGGAGGGCGAGAAGGCCGACCUGGAAGGCAUCGCCGCCAUCAAGGAGUCGGCAGAGCGCGAGUACACCAAGGCCAUCACCCAGAUGGGUGCCCUCUCCAUCCCGAACCCCGACGGCUCCGUCCUCUUCGCCAACCACUGUCGCGCCCUCGACAACGCAGGGCAAGCCAUCUGGUUUGCCCCCUCCAACAUCAAGCUAGGCGCACUACCGGGAAGGGAAGGACGCUCCUGCUCUCAACUUGUUGCUAGAGGCGGAGUCCUUCUCCCGGAUGGGGCUCGAGCAGGAGGAUCCCAAGAAAUUUCUUGUGAGCAAUUCCAUCAAAGGGCCAAGGUUAAACAUGUCGUCUACACAGCAAAUGUCUCUUAUGUUCCAAAUUAGGAGUUCAACAUUGCCUUAUUGCUGUAUGUGUAAUUGAUUGGGUUAGAUGCAUAUAGGAUCUCACUACUGCUCUAGAUAGGAGAAGUUGAGGCUGGAGAAGGAAUCGUUCCAGGAGCUCACUUGAGUAAAGAAGCCAAAGCUGGAUCAGUUGUGCGUGCUCCACUGGCAAGUUCUCCUGCUUUACCCUGAGGUCAUGUCGAGUGACUUCAUCAUGGAUUUUCUGGAGACUGAUCUGUUCUCGCAGCACCUUGAUAAUCCUUGAAAAAAUACAUCAUCCGCUUUCUCGCAGCACCUUGGUUUUCUAGAAUCCAUCUUGCCCUUAUCUAUCAAACAUGUUCUCCGCAAGUUCUCCACCUUUACCAUGGGAUGACAACCAUGCUUAUAUGGCCGGCUUGUAGGGUGUGACGAUCCCGCUCGGCAGCAGCAGGCUUUUCCCGAGGAACAAAUCAUUGAUGCAAAAAACCUGGUUUUCAAGGACAUAACGAAAUAAUGGUUUGUCCAGCUCAUGAUUUUCAACAGUCUUUGUAUGAUUUGAUAGCCACACAGAUGGUAUCUAUUUGUGGGAGGGGAAGAAGUGUAUUCUGCUAUCUUUCUGUGCAAGUGUCCUAGCUGGUUUCUUCAGUUAUAUUCAUGGCAUGACUAUUUUUCUAUCUCUGUCUAUUGUUAUUUGCUAUGUUUGCCGAGCUGAAGUAAGCUUUCUUUGUUCUUUUGUUUACUAGAUCAUGUGCUUCAUCCGCCCGAAAUUCUGGUAACCCGCUACUGAGAGGGGAUGAUAUCACACAAGCCACGCCUGGGGUGGUUGUUGCCCGAGGUUCCUGACGGGCGGUGGCUAUUCUUCCAUCGCACAGAUGAUUAUAUAAAUAAUUGUAUUCUUUUCUUUUUCUUCACUCUAGAUUUGCAACAACAGUUCAAUCCCCAAAAAUAUUUGACGCUACUUCUUGCUGCUAUUGCCAUCUGAAUGAGUCGAAAAAUAAAAUGAUGAUUCAUGCACAAAAACCAUUCCUAUUUAUUUUGUUGAAUUAUUCUUGUAGAUCACUUGAUUAAUGAAAAAUAUUCAUGCUAUCAAUUCUAGGAUGCAAGGUUUGUGUAGCUUACCUGACAACUCCUGGGUCUUAUAGAACUUUCUUUUGUCUUUAAGCACGAAGACAUAUAUAGUACUUGGCUGGAUAAUUUGCACUGUGAAUCACUUCAAACGAUAUGCAAGGAGAUAUUUGCACAUCAACUCAAUGGACAUCCAGAUGUGAUAAAUAGCUUUAUUGCAGUGAUUUAUUACUAUCACAUUACAGAUUACAUCCCUAUAUUGUGAUGGUGUCAAGAUCGACGUCCCCUCGUCGUCCUGUUGGUCUCACAUCGGCUAAAAUUACAGCAUCAUGCAUGGCAGGGCCACGCCGUCGUUCAAGAUACUUUGGACUACAGCGACCGCGGAUUGGCGAGCAGGGGCAUCAGAGUAGGUACCAGCUACCACCAACAAGCUGCAACAUCAGGGACUAGCUCACGAAGAAAUUUUGUUCUGGAUUUCGUUAGGUACAGAGCACAUGGACAAAGAUACAUUCUUAGUUUCUUUUGUUUGGUUGGAUAUAUACAUCCAUUCUCUUCUUCAUGUAGCUGCAACAUCAGGGACUAGCUCACGAAGAAAUUUUGUUCUGGCUUUCGUUAGGUACAGAGCACAUGGACAGAAAUACAUUCUUAGUUUCUUUUGUUUGGUUGGAUAUAUACAUCCAUUCUCUUCUUCA